AUAUUCCCCAGAAAUGAAGAUCCCAUGAUCAUGAAGGUGAUUUCUCAGGGCAAGGCUCACCAAUUGUAAUAUAGAUGUACUGACCCCUGUGAUUCGCUCAAAUGUGGGAAAUCUAAUUACAGAAUUUGAGAAAGUGAAAGACCAUAUUUACCUCUUCCC